rnacentral:rRNA from 1 species
AUUGAACGCUGGCGGCAUGCUUUACACAUGCAAGUCGAACGGCAGCGCGGGCUUCGGCCUGGCGGCGAGUGGCGAACGGGUGAGUAAUACAUCGGAACGUGCCCAGUAGUGGGGGAUAGCUCGGCGAAAGCCGGAUUAAUACCGCAUACGACCUGAGGGUGAAAGCGGGGGAUCUUCGGACCUCGCGCUAUUGGAGCGGCCGAUGGCAGAUUAGCUAGUUGGUGGGGUAAAGGCCUACCAAGGCGACGAUCUGUAGCUGGUCUGAGAGGACGACCAGCCACACUGGGACUGAGACACGGCCCAGACUCCUACGGGAGGCAGCAGUGGGGAAUUUUGGACAAUGGGCGAAAACCUGAUCCAGCAAUGCCGCGUGUGUGAUGAAGGCCUUCGGGUUGUAAAGCACUUUUGGCGGGAACGAAAAGGACUGUGCCAAUACCACGGUUCGAUGACGGUACCCGCAGAAUAAGCACCGGCUAACUACGUG